rnacentral:lncRNA from 1 species
CCAACAAUACCGGGAUAAUUGAACUUAAAGAAGAUUUCCGACUAAAGAUUUAUACAGAUAACAAAAACCGCUGGGAGGCAGCAGACACAUGUUCAAGUGAACUGAAUGGACAACUCGUGGUGCUUGAUAAAAAGUGGAAAAUGAAUGCAGUUUCAAACAUCUUGAUUUCAUGCUCGGAUUAUAAAGAAAAUGACGACUAUUGGACAGAUGGAAACUGUUGGUGGCAGUGCCGUUUGACAGAUGGAAACUGUUGGUCCUGGCAGUGCAGUUUUACGAAUGGAGAAAGCAUGCUGAUGACGGAGCAGACUUUCUGGCACACCGGUAAACCAAACGGUCAGCUAUGUGUACUUGUGCAGAACAAAAAAGGUGUUUACAUGUGGAACGACAAAUCCUGUUCUAAGCAAUACCGUUAUAUAUGCGAAUACUGACGUUAUCUUCUUGAAUUAUUAUUGAUAAAAAAACUUGUUAAAGUAUCGAAUCAGUCUAACGUAGAAAUUCAUUUUUAGGUUAUCAAACAAGGAAUUAUUAAUAUUUUCACAAAAACAGUAUCUAGUUGUUAACAAUGUGACCAUUUACUUAAAGGAUCCGUACGUUUUAAUUCGAAUAAGAAAAUUAUCAGAAAGUGUAUUUUUAUUCAUAUAAUAUAUACUGAUGUGUAUUCAAUUAGCUGUCAGUUUGAUACAUUGAAGGGGUAACUUGCAAGCCUUAAUGUUUCGGCAAACAUGUCGUGUUCCGAGAUGGGUACACUGUUAUAAUUCUCUAAAUACAACAUAAUGCUCACUUAAUAAGCAAAAUUUAAAUAUUUCCCUCAGCUGGGAACAGCAAACAUAAUGGUUGUGUAAAGUAACCCUGCAACAUAUGUGUUGUCAUAGCUAUACAUUCAUUGCGUACGCAGUAUGUUAAAAUUGUAUAUGGCUGUAGUGGUAGAAAUGCUAGGACCCUUGCAGAUUUUCUGUUGUCUGCCUUAAUUUCGAUAAUACCAACUACACUACAUGUUACAGCAUGGGUAAAUGUAUCCAAUGAUAUUUGCCGAGAUAGAAAAGUUCGAUAUGCCACCAGCUGAUAUAUGGGAACAUGGAUUUUUUGUUAAGCUCAUAAUCAUCAUCAAUGGGCGAUAUAUUAAACAUUUACCUCCUAUACAGUAUAAUAUUAUCCGAUACAGCUUCAGUUAAUCAAAUGACUGACUUUUUGAUCUCAGAUGACCAAGUUUAAACCUUGAUCUAGAUUUCAUAUUCUGAUCAGGUUUCACUCAUAUCCGGUAGAAACUGAGCUUUUAGAGUACUAACAAGACUUUUCUGUGACCCGGUGACAUAGUUUAUAGUCAAAAAUAAUUCAAAUUACUUCUUGUAAAUAAACAGUCUGAACAAUAUUCAUUAUCAGACUGAACAUUUGGAAUCAAGAGUGUUAAGUUUUUAUAUGGUUUCACCUAGUGAUCUUAUAUUUGACUUCAAUGACUCACUAUUGAAAUAAUGACCUAGAUUUAAUUUGGACAAAUAAUUUUGACCAGGCUUCAUGUAAAUCAACUGCAAAAUCAACAUCUGGAGUGUUAACAAGGAUUUUUUCAUAAUUUGACAUAUUGACCUUGCAUCUGAACCCAGAAAAUCCAAUUUUGAAUGUGUCUUAGAUUUUCUCAUGACUAGAUUUCAUGUAUCUGCUAAAGUAUCUAUAAUUUGAUCUAGUGACCUAAUUUGUAACCCUAGAUACCCAGUUUCAAAUUCUUCCAGGUUUUUAUCGAGGCAUUUUCAUAAUGAAUGGGCGUAAAGAGUUAAGGGUACAGUGACCUAAUUUACUGAAUGGGGCUGUAAGCUUAAUUUUUAAUUUUAUUACAAGUGUACAGGCUAUUUUAAGUAAUUUUUUUAUCUAGUUUGAUCUUGAAACUUUUGAUUUAGAACAGCCUCACUUACUUUAUAAAUACAUAUAAGCAGAAGUUCUUGUUAAUACAUAUAAGCAGAAGUUCUUGUUAAAUUACUAGAAACAGGUGACUUCCUGGUUUUGCAGACAUGCUGUUGUUGUUGCACUUGCAAUGCAUUGUGGGUAGUUGCUUAUCAACUACUGCCUAGGCUUUGUUUACAUUUCUGUACAUAGAAAUGUCAUUUAACUUUA